GAAUUACCUUUACACUGAAAUUGGAUUUGGGUUAAUUUUAAGCUUUAAAUAAAAUAUAUUCUAUUUAAACCCAGCAGUUGUACUCAGAGAUUUUAUCUGAGACUUUUGUUUGCUUACAGUUUUGCAGCUAUUUUAUAUCAUCAUAUUAACAGUUGUUUUCCCUUUAGCAUUCUUAACAGCAAAGCGGAGAAAUGAACAGCUAUUUCACAUCAAGCUAUCUGCUUUUGCAAAACAAAUAUAUUUGCAUAAAGGGUAUUCCAUUGGAUUGUAGUUUCAGCAAGACAUCCUCCCAAACGAUUUUCUGCAUCAAGGCUCAUAAAACAGACCUUAGCUUUGAAACAGAGGUCUUACUUCAUGUGUUAUGAACUUUAUUAGUGUCAAUUGUCCCUCACAAAAUGUCUGCAGGAACUGCAAAUCUUUCCCAAAAAGGGGCUGGAAUGCUGUGUUGACUACAACUGGCACUAUGACAGUUGCUGCUGCGCAUGAUGAAGCACGCUGUUACAACAGCACGAGGACAGCAUUGGAAGAAUCUCCCAGGCAGGUUUAUGUUGCUACAGGCCCGAGCCUACCAGAAGUUCAGGCAGUCCUUACAUUGCUGAAACCUCCUCUAAGCUGAGCCAAGCAGAUGAGUUCCUCAGGGACUGUCCUGCCAAACCGCAUUACGUGCUGCCGUUCCCCAGGCCACCUCUGUCUGCACUCUCCUUGCAUGUACACAGGGGAGCAAAACAGUGAAAUAGCAAUGGCUUUUUCACAUCAUCCCAAACUUCUCAGAGAGGAUUCUCAGCUGUACUUUGUUUUUUUUUUUCCUGGUAUACUUCCAACCUGAACAAUGCAGAGCUCUUAGUAAAGAGAUAAAGGAUUUAGAUCUAAUUGCAAUUCUGUGCUGAAUAAUUUAAAAUAAUAAUUUACGUUUAUGUGCUAAGUAGCAACAAAUAUAAAAAUACUCAAAAUACCAUUUACAACAAAAAAUAAACUUUUUCUUUUUUUUUAAUUUUCCUACCCA
rnacentral:lncRNA from 1 species